CUCAACCUCAACCACUAAGCCAAGCAAAGGCAAUGCCAAAGCCCAUUGAAACCUGAGACUUUCAGACAGAGACUCACCAACUAUACCCCACACCCACAACCCCCCCUUCUUCUCACUGCACUUUACCCCUCUCAUCUCCAUCUUCUCACUAUCAUUUCUUUGUUUCCCCUCCAAAACCACAAAACCCAUUUCUCUUUCUCUUCUUCACCUUCACCAAUGAGCACCAUGGAUUCCUCUUCCAUCUAUGGUGUCUCUAACUCCCUCUUCUUCUUCCUCACCCUCCUUCUCUUCUCCCUUCUACCAAUCCAUUCACAUUCUGCAUUCCCCCACAACACCUCUUCCUCUUCCACUUCCUCUCAGAUCAAUUCCAACUCAAUCCUCGUCGCGCUUCUCGAUUCCCAUUACACCGAACUCGCCGAGCUCGUCGAGAAAGCCCUUCUUCUUCAGAAACUCGAAGACGCCGUCGGCAACCACAACAUCACCAUCUUCGCCCCCAGAAACCAAGCCCUCGAACGCGACCUUGACCCCGAAUUCAAACGCUUCCUCCUCGAACCUCGCAAUCUCAGGUCACUCCAGACACUCUUGAUGUCCCACAUUCUCCCCACGCGAAUCGCCUCUCGCCACUGGCCCGCCGCCGACCUCCGCCACCCCACCCUCUCCGACCACCACCUCCAUUUGACCUCCAAGCCCUCCGGCGAAAAAACCGUCGACUCCGCCGAGAUCCUCCGCGCCGACGACGUCGUCCGCCCCGACGGCGUCAUCCACGGCAUCGAGCGCCUCAUCGUCCCCCGAUCCGUGCAGGAAGAUUUCAACCGCCGCAGAAACCUCGCCGCUAUCUCCGCCGUCCUACCCGAGGGGGCGCCAGAGGUCGAUCCCCGAACCCACCGCCUGAAGAAACCCGCACCAGUCCCCGCUGGCGCCCCGCCGGUGCUUCCAAUCUACGACGCAAUGGCACCGGGACCAUCGAUUGCUCCGGCGCCGGCACCAGGACCGGGAGGACCGCGUCACCACUUCAACGGCGAGCGUCAGGUGAAGGACUUCAUCCACACUCUGUUGCAUUACGGAGGAUACAACGAAAUGGCCGAUAUCUUAGUAAACUUAACAUCGUUAGCGACCGAAAUGGGAAGGUUAGUUUCGGAAGGUUAUGUUCUCACCGUUUUGGCUCCAAACGACGAAGCGAUGGCGAAGCUUACGACGGACCAGUUGAGCGAACCUGGUGCACCUGAACAGAUCAUGUACUACCACAUCAUUCCCGAGUACCAAACCGAGGAGAGUAUGUACAAUGCCGUUCGCAGGUUCGGUAAAGUCCGUUACGAUACCUUGCGCUUGCCGCAUAAGGUUCUCGCUCAGGAAUCCGACGGCUCCGUUAAAUUCGGUCACGGCGAUUCCUCUGCCUACCUCUUCGAUCCCGAUAUUUACACCGACGGCAGGAUUUCCGUUCAGGGAGUUGACGGCGUUCUCUUCCCUCCGGAGGAGCAAGAAGACGCCACUCCCCGCUCUCGCAGGACCACUCCACUCGUUAAAGUCGCCGCUAAGCCAAGGAGAGAUACUCAUAAGGCAUGCUAGUUUUGUUGCAUCCUAUUGCUUGGAAUCAUAUGUAUGUAUGCAUCAAUGAGAGCUUUUGGGGAGAGAUCUCUAAUUGGAGAGGCCGUGAGGAACUUGCCAACUAUUAGAGAAUAAAAGGGGAAGUUGAUGGAGCUGGCCUGUAGCAUGCUCGGAGUCUGCCAAUGAAUCGCUUUCUAAACUAAUCACAAAAAUAAUAAAGAGUGAAUGUACGUAAACUCCAUGAAUGUUGUAGAGUAAUCAUUUCCAUACAAAGGAUGCACCGUGAAUCUAUAAUCCGAGCGCCAUUACACAGAAGAUAACAAAUUUUCUGUCAUUUUGUUUCAUACUGUAAUUACAUACCAUUUUUUUAUUAAAUUUUUAUCUCAUGUUGAUUCACUGUCUCUAUGCGUAAAUAACCUUGGAAUACGACGCCCCUUCUUGGUUGUUUUUUAUUUUUUUGUUUUUACUUUUAUUUUCCUGCUUGUAUGUAUGUGAACCAAGUUCAUACAUAAUCUACUUUAUUAUUAUUAUGCCUUCCAAAUUCCAUCUCGUUUUCUUUAGCACUUUUU